AGUUAUUUUGAUUAAUGUUUCCAAAACCAUGUGAAUUUAGGGAUAUCAUUCCCAUAUUCAAGAAUUAAAUUCAGACAGAACAAUGGCAGAUUUGAGACCUAGCUCUAACCUGAAGUUUCAGCUCUGCCUGUUGGUUUCACAUCCUUGAGAGCAGUCCUCAGAGGUCCUGCCUAUGUCCUCAGCAUCGCUGUUCCCUUGAGGAAUGGUCCAUUCUUCGGCUAUGGUGGAUGUGAUGACAGCCACUUCUCUUGCCGUACGUUAGGAGCAGAGAUGUUUCUUGUAAUGUGAAGGAAGAGUGACACUUGCUUACUCUUCUGUCUUCCUUGUAGCAAAUCAUUUUGUUGUCAUGAGACAGAGUACAAGGAAGGGAACAAGAGAAAACCUGAAAUCACAUUACCAUAUUAAGAUCACAGUUAUUUUUAAAUGUGUAAUUGUGCACAUAUAUAUAUAUAUAUAUAUAUAUAUAUAUAUAUAUAUAUAUAUAUAUAUAAUAUAUGUUUGUGUGCCUAUGGGCACAUGGCAAACAUUGAAAUAUACUUAAGACAUUUGAAACAUCUCUCUAGACAUCACCCACAGAAGCUCUGUGUUUCAGCAUUUCAGCUACCGGGUUUGUUUGUUUGUUUGUUUGUUUGUUUGUUUGUUUAAGAAUAUUCAUUCUCCCUUUCAGGAAAACUGUGUAGAGAUGAAGAGAGCGGGUCAGCAUGAGAGAGAGGAAACUGGCGAGAACAUGUUGGAAGACGAGCUGCAGGCUAACUGGUGCCUCCCACCUUCAUUACUGUGCUUCCAAAUCAAUCUCUCUGCUCUCCUUGAGUGGCAAAUAAAAAAAUCAGCUCACAAGAUAUAUGUGUGUGCUGUUCGUGAUGAUCCUCACCGUCCAUCUGCCGCACAUGCCAGCCUGAAGACGCUGCAGGGAGAAUUAAAGAUGUCCCGAGUCCACAGCAGAAUCCAGAGGCCUUUUUCUUCUGGACACAUGGCGUUGGUCACCUGGGGCUUGUCCCACCUCGUCCACUCUGCGGCAAAGAUGAUGAUUGCUGGUGGACAAUAACUGACUGCAUGCCUAACCUUCCAGAGCAACCAACUGGCUUAAAAUCUAGAGCCCAAGUGAGUCUGAGUCAUGUUAUUUUUUUUAUGUGUAUGAAUAUUUAGCCUGUGCCCACUGGAGCCAGAAGAGGGCAUUGGAUCCUGAAACUGAAGUUACAGAUGUUGGGAGCCACCAUGUGGGCACUAGGAAUUGAACUCAGGUCCUUUGUAAAAGCAAUCAGUGAUCUUAACCACUGAGCCAUCACUCCACCCCCAAAUUCUGUUUCUUGAAGAUAUUUGUGAUGAUUAAUCUGGCCAACCAGAGUCACAGUGGAAGCAACUAUGUGGGCACACCUGCAAGAUACCAUCUAAACUAGGUUAAUUGAGGUGGGGAGAGUGACCUGAAGGCAAGCCCUACCAUUCAAGGCCUCGACUGAACACCCAGGAGGAACCAGCACUCAUCCUUGUCUCCUCUUACUGUGGACAUGAUUCUAGGUUCAAUAAAGCAGAGCCCAGUGGUGAUGGAGACGCCAGUUUGAGCCUUUUUAAUACUCUGAACAAGCCCUGUCUUGCUGCUGGCCCAAGGUUGACGUCAGCGCUUCCUCUGCUUCAAAGCAAGAUACAGAAUUAUAAUAGGAUGUCUGGAUACCAACUGUGUCCUUGAUAACUCAGAGUCCAUUACAAAGAACUGCUCUGAGCCGUCUGAGCUGGACAUGGAAGCGAGGUGCUUGGCUGAAGCCUUAGUGUUGGACUGCUAAGGGAAGACAGAGCUGAAACGUGGAGGCCCGUGGGAGCAUUGUGUGAAUUUGUGUGUCAUUUAGCUCAAGAAGUGACUGAUUAGCUCUGUACUUGAGUCCUUAUAUUUCACAGCUACUUCAAGUACCUUGAAUCUAGAACAUUCUUAUCUGACAACAGUACGCAAUUAAAGUUCACAUCAGGUUUUCAUUAGACUCAUUCUGACUUUGUAGAACAUUUCUUGAAGAAUACGUUGCUAAGAAUCCUGACUUCCCCCCUCAUUCUUCCUUGUCUUGUGGCAAGAGACCAGCAGAACAUUCUGUCUCCAUAGGAUGAGAUCAUGCACAGCUACUGCCAGACCUUGGGAAGGCCAGUGGGGAUGUCACUUCUGUCUGUCAGCACCAGCAAUCCUGAAAUUUAGAGAGGCGUCACCACUCAUGUAACUUUGUGACUCUUCCUUUCGGGGUAACUUUCUGUGAAACUACUAGCUAGAAAAAUACAAUGAUUGAGGUUCAUUUCAGCAAGCCUCCAAAGACA
rnacentral:lncRNA from 1 species